UACGUAGGGCGCAAGCGUUGUCCGGAAUUAUUGGGCGUAAAGAGCUCGUAGGCGGCUUGUCACGUCGGAUGUGAAAGCCCGGGGCUUAACUCCGGGUCUGCAUUCGAUACGGGCUGGCUAGAGUGUGGUAGGGGAGAUCGGAAUUCCUGGUGUAGCGGUGAAAUGCGCAGAUAUCAGGAGGAACACCGGUGGCGAAGGCGGAUCUCUGGGCCGAUACUGACGCUGAGGAGCGAAAGCGUGGGGAGCAAACAGG
rnacentral:rRNA from 1 species